rnacentral:rRNA from 1 species
GAAAAGAAACCAACAGGGAUUGCCUUAGUAACGGCGAGUGAAGCGGCAGAAGCUCAAAUUUGAAAUCUGGCACCUACGGUGUCCGAGUUGUAAUUUGAAGAGGCAACUUUGGGAGGGUCCCGGUCUAUGUUCCUUGGAACAGGACAUCGCAGAGGGUGAGAAUCCCGUUCUCGGUCGGAUGGGCCUCCCUUACAAAAGUGUCUUCUACGAGUCGAGUUGUUUGGGAAUGCAGCUCAAAAUGGGUGGUAAAUUUCAUCUAAGGCUAAACAUUGGCGAGAGACCGAUAGCGCACAAGUAGAGUGAUCGAAAGAUGAAAAGCACUUUGAAAAUAGAGUCAAAAAGUACGUGAAAUUGUUGAAAGGGAAGCGCUUGAGACCAGACUCAGCGGUAGACAAACAGCUGCCCUUCUGGGUAGUGCACUUGUCUGCCGGUGGGCCAGCAUCGGUUGGGGUGGUGGGAUAAAGGCUAGGGCAAUGUGACUCCUCUGAGGAGUGUUAUAGGCCCGAGUGCAAUGCUGCCCGCCCCGACCGUGGACCGCGCUUCCGCUAGGAUGCUGGCGUAAUGGUCUUCA